rnacentral:misc_RNA from 1 species
GAUGAAGAACGCAGUGAAAUGCGAUAAGUAAUGUGAAUUGCAGAAUUCAGUGAAUCAUCGAAUCUUUGAACGCAUCUUGCGCUCCUUGGUAUUCCGAGGAGCAUGCCUGUUUGAGUGUCAUUUUAACUUCUCAACCAUAUCGAAUUGUUUUUCGAGGUGGCUUGGACAUGGGGGUUUUUGCAGGCUUUAAUAAUGAAGUCGGCUCCUCUGAAAUGCAUUAGUGGUAUCUGAAGCAGAACUGCUACUAUUAGGUGUGAUAAUUAUCUAUGCCUCUUGGUAUACUGCAUGAACAGAUUGCGCUGCUUCCAACUUGUACACCCUUUGGUGUUUGACAAAUUUGACCUCAAAUCAGGUAGGACUACCCGCUGAACUUAAGCAUAUCAAUAAGCGGAGGA